AGCUUUGUGUAGUGGCAGUAUCAUAGCCAAUGAGGUUUAACUGAGGUGUGGUUAUUGCUAAUUGC
rnacentral:snRNA from 1 species